rnacentral:rRNA from 1 species
UACGAAGGGGGCUAGCGUUGCUCGGAAUCACUGGGCGUAAAGCGCACGUAGGCGGAUUGUUAAGUCGGGGGUGAAAUCCUGGAGCUCAACUCCAGAACUGCCUUCGAUACUGGCGAUCUUGAGUCCGGGAGAGGUGAGUGGAACUGCGAGUGUAGAGGUGAAAUUCGUAGAUAUUCGCAAGAACACCAGUGGCGAAGGCGGCUCACUGGCCCGAUACUGACGCUGAGGUGCGAAAGCGUGGGGAGCAAACAGG